CCUGGUAUCGCAGGUUUGCUGAUGUUCCAAGGAAGCAACUAUAAACAGUUGCUGAUUUCCAGAUCGGAGAUCUUUUGCGCCCCACUUCCAUACUUGCAGAAGGUUUCAGAAUUUGGCGAGCACCAUAUAAGACAUCUGAAGCAACUCCAGCUCCAAUACUAGAAAUGAAUCCAACACCGGCAAGUUUAAGACCGCCCAUAAGCACUGAUGCAAAUCUCUGUUUAAUGCUCCAAUUCUGCCCUACAAUGCCCUUUUGAAAUGCAUUAUCUGGCAAUGUUCCUAAAAGUCCUUUCAGAAGCUCCACGCUAUCACCAGAGCCAUCAUCGGCAAAAGACAAGAGCGAAAUAGUAGGUGCAGGAAGCCACACUGUAAAGAAGUCAACAACAGAGCCUCUAAU
rnacentral:lncRNA from 1 species